AUUCCAGCUCCAGUAGCGUAUAUUAACGUUGUUGCAGUUAAAAAGCUCGUAGUUGGAUUUCUGGUGAGAUUGACCCGGCCCCGCCAGAUUUGGUGUGAGUGCUGGUGUUUAUCUGCCAUCCUUCUAGAGAACGGUACUACCCUUCAUUGGGUCGGUGCUGCUAUCUAGAUCUUUUACUUUGAAAAAAUUAGAGUGUUUAAAGCAGGCGUUGCAUUGAAUACAUUAGCAUGGAAUAAUAAUAUAGGACUUCGGUCUCUAUUUUGUUGGUUUCUAGAACUGAAGUAAUGGUUGAUAGGGAUAGUUGGGGGUGCUAGUAUUCAGCGGCCAGAGGUGAAAUUCUUGGAUUCGCUGAAGACUAACUUAUGCGAAAGCAUUCACCGAGGAUGUCUUCAUCA
rnacentral:rRNA from 1 species